rnacentral:rRNA from 1 species
ACGCUCGACACCUACGGGAGGCGGCAGUGGGGAAUAUUGCACAAUGGGGGAAACCCUGAUGCAGCGACGCCGCGUGAGCGAAGAAGUAUUUCGGUAUGUAAAGCUCUAUCAGCAGGGAAGAAACUGACGGUACCUGACUAAGAAGCACCGGCUAAAUACGUGCCAACAGCCGCGGUAAUCUGAGCGGGCUGGCAAGGC